rnacentral:hammerhead_ribozyme from 1 species
GUACUUCUGAGGAGUCCCAAACUAGGACGAAAUAGCUGUCCAGUAC